rnacentral:rRNA from 1 species
CCUGCCCACUGAUUAUUUAAAUGGCCGCAGUAAUUUGACUGUGCAAAGGUAGCAUAAUCAUUAGUUUUUUAAUUAAAAGCUUGUAUGAAGGGUUGUACGAAAUAAAAUCUGUCUUUAUUUAAUUUAUUUUAGAAUUUAAUUUUUAAGUUAAAAAGCUUAAAUUUUUAUAAAAGACGAGAAGACCCUAUAGAUCUUUAUAUUAUUAAUUAUUAAUUUUAAUUAGGAAUAUUUUAUUUUUUAAUAGUAAUAAUAUUUUAUUGGGGUAAUAAAUAGAUUAAAUAAAUUCUUUUUUUUUAUAAUAUUGAUUAAUAAUUUUAUGAUCCAAUUAUUUUGAUUAGAAGAUUAAGUUACCUUAGGGAUAACAGCGUAAUUUUUUUAGAGAGUUCAUAUCGAUAAAAAAGUUUGCGACCUCGAUGUUGGAUUAAAAAUUGUUC